GAUGAACGCUAGCGGGAGGCCUAACACAUGCAAGCCGAGCGGGAUUUGUUGGUUAGCUUGCUAACUAACAAUGAGAGCGGCGUACGGGUGCGUAGCACGUGUGCAACCUGCCUUUAUCUGGGGGAUAGCCUUUCGAAAGGAAGAUUAAUACCCCAUAACAUAUUGAUUGGCAUCAGUUAAUAUUGAAAGCUCCGGCGGAUAGAGAUGGGCACGCGUAAGAUUAGCUAGUUGGUGAGGUAACGGCUCACCAAGGCUGCGAUCUUUAGGGGGCCUGAGAGGGUGAUCCCCCACACUGGUACUGAGACACGGACCAGACUCCUACGGGAGGCAGCAGUGAGGAAUAUUGGACAAUGGGUGAGAGCCUGAUCCAGCCAUCCCGCGUGAAGGACUAAGGACCUAUGGUUGGUAAACUUCUUUUAUACAGGGAUAAACCUACUCUCGUGAGGGUAGCUGAAGGUACUGUAUGAAUAAGCACCGGCUAACUCCGUG
rnacentral:rRNA from 1 species